UUUCCGUAGGUGAACCUGCGGAAGGAUCAUUCAUAAUAAGUGUUUUAUGGCACUUUUUUAAAUCCAUAUCCUCCUUGUGUGCAAUGUCAGGGUUGGUCUCUUUUGAUCAGCCCCAAACAUCAACUAUUAUCUCAACUCCUUGUCUGAAGAAUAUUAUGAAUAAAACAAUUCAAAAUACAACUUUCAACAACGGAUCUCUUGGCUCUC
rnacentral:misc_RNA from 1 species